GAACGGUAACAGGAAGCACUUGCUGCUUCGCUGACGAGUGGCGGACGGGUGAGUAAUGUCUGGGAAACUGCCUGAUGGAGGGGGAUAACUACUGGAAACGGUAGCUAAUACCGCAUAACGUCGCAAGACCAAAGAGGGGGACCUUCGGGCCUCUUGCCAUCGGAUGUGCCCAGAUGGGAUUAGCUAGUAGGUGGGGUAACGGCUCACCUAGGCGACGAUCCCUAGCUGGUCUGAGAGGAUGACCAGCCACACUGGAACUGAGACACGGUCCAGACUCCUACGGGAGGCAGCAGUGGGGAAUAUUGCACAAUGGGCGCAAGCCUGAUGCAGCCAUGCCGCGUGUAUGAAGAAGGCCUUCGGGUUGUAAAGUACUUUCAGCGGGGAGGAAGGCGAUAAGGUUAAUAACCUUGUCGAUUGACGUUACCCGCAGAAGAAGCACCGGCUAACUCCGUGCCAGCAGCCGCGGUAAUACGGAGGGUGCAAGCGUUAAUCGGAAUUACUGGGCGUAAAGCGCACGCAGGCGGUCUGUCAAGUCGGAUGUGAAAUCCCCGGGCUCAACCUGGGAACUGCAUUCGAAACUGGCAGGCUAGAGUCUUGUAGAGGGGGGUAGAAUUCCAGGUGUAGCGGUGAAAUGCGUAGAGAUCUGGAGGAAUACCGGUGGCGAAGGCGGCCCCCUGGACAAAAGACUGACGCUCAGGUGCGAAAGCGUGGGGGAGCAAACAGGAUUUAGAUACCCUUGGUAGUCCACGCCGUAAACGAUGUCGACUUGGAGG
rnacentral:rRNA from 1 species